rnacentral:rRNA from 1 species
GACGAACGCUGGCGGCGUGCCUAAUACAUGCAAGUCGAACGCUGAAGGAGGAGCUUGCUUCUCUGGAUGAGUUGCGAACGGGUGAGUAACGCGUAGGUAACCUGCCUGGUAGCGGGGGAUAACUAUUGGAAACGAUAGCUAAUACCGCAUAAGAGUAGAUGUCGCAUGACAUUUGCUUAAAAGGUGCAAUUGCAUCACUACCAGAUGGACCUGCGUUGUAUUAGCUAGUUGGUGAGGUAACGGCUCACCAAGGCAACGAUACAUAGCCGACCUGAGAGGGUGAUCGGCCACACUGGGACUGAGACACGGCCCAGACUCCUACGGGAGGCAGCAGUAGGGAAUCUUCGGCAAUGGACGGAAGUCUGACCGAGCAACGCCGCGUGAGUGAAGAAGGUUUUCGGAUCGUAAAGCUCUGUUGUAAGAGGAGAACGAGUGUGAGAGUGGAAAGUUCACACUGUGACGGUAUCUUACCAGAAAGGGACGGCUAACUACGUG